rnacentral:rRNA from 1 species
CAAUAGCGUAUAUUAAAGUUGUUGCAGUUAAAAAGCUCGUAGUUGGAUUUGUGGCGUACGGUGUGUUCCGGGCACUUGUUGUCUGAGUAACCUGCUGUUGCCAUCCUUGGGUGGAACCUGUGUGGCAUUAGGUUGUCGUGCAGGGGAUGCCCAUCAUUUACUGUGAAAAAAUUAGAGUGUUCAAAGCAGGCUUAUGCCGUUGAAUAUAUUAGCAUGGAAUAAUGAGAUAGGACUUUUUUGCUAUUUUGUUGGUUUGCGCAAAGAGGUAAUGAUUAAUAGGGACAGUUGGGGGUAUUCGUAUUCCAUUGUCAGAGGUGAAAUUCUUGGAUUUUUGGAAGACGAACUACUGCGAAAGCAUUUACCAAGGAUUUUUUCAUUAA